GAUGAACGCUGGCGGCGUGCCUAAUACAUGCAAGUCGAGCGAACGGACGAGAAGCUUGCUUCUCUGAUGUUAGCGGCGGACGGGUGAGUAACACGUGGAUAACCUACCUAUAAGACUGGGAUAACUUCGGGAAACCGGAGCUAAUACCGGAUAAUAUUUUGAACCGCAUGGUUCAAAAGUGAAAGACGGUCUUGCUGUCACUUAUAGAUGGAUCCGCGCUGCAUUAGCUAGUUGGUAAGGUAACGGCUUACCAAGGCAACGAUGCAUAGCCGACCUGAGAGGGUGAUCGGCCACACUGGAACUGAGACACGGUCCAGACUCCUACGGGAGGCAGCAGUAGGGAAUCUUCCGCAAUGGGCGAAAGCCUGACGGAGCAACGCCGCGUGAGUGAUGAAGGUCUUCGGAUCGUAAAACUCUGUUAUUAGGGAAGAACAUAUGUGUAAGUAACUGUGCACAUCCUGACGGUACCUAAUCAGAAAGCCACGGCUAAUUACGUG
rnacentral:rRNA from 1 species